rnacentral:rRNA from 1 species
AUGGCGCAGGCAGGGGGCUCCAUGGCGGUUGCUGCUGUGCUGGUCGCCGGGCAGAGGACGGCAGAGCAGAACGAAGAGGCCGGGAAUGGGCAGGUUGGCUGCGGGGGAGGACCUGAACACCGGAAUCCGAAGGAGCGGCGACUUGGCGGAGGCCGGCCGGAUCUGGAGUGGGCUAUGGCACCAGCGCAGGCAGAAAGUCAACGAAGGCCAUGGCGCUGCAGAUGGAUGGGUUCAGGCGUCACUGCGGGGAGCUCCUCUCCCGUAUGGCACAGCGGGAGGACUUGGCAGCAGGUGCUCCGACGAGGUACUUAG